rnacentral:rRNA from 1 species
UACGGAGGGUGCAAGCGUUAUCCGGAUUCACUGGGUUUAAAGGGUGCGUAGGAGGGCAGGUAAGUCAGUGGUGAAAUCUCCAAGCUUAACUUGGAACUGCCGUUGAUACUAUCUGUCUUGAAUAUUUGUGGAGGUGAGCGGAAUAUGUCAUGUAGCGGUGAAAUGCUUAGAUAUGACAUAGAACACCAAUUGCGAAAGGCAGCUCGCUACACAAUAUAUUGACUCUGAGGCACGAAAGCGUGGGGAUCAAACAGG